UUAUUUUCGCUACGUGGAAUGUGUCUUUACUUCCUCAUUCUCAACCUUCCCCUCCCCUUGUGCUUAGACAAGAGUGAGAAGACGUAAGGAGCUGCAAGCUUUUGGUUUCUAUUGAUUAACACUCGGAAACUUUUUAAUAUUUCAUCUUUAGAUCCAUUUUUCAUCCUGCAGUUUUUGGUCAACUACAGUACGAUCAUGGACUUGUUGAGGCCAAUCCUGGACAGACUCAUGGCUUUAUAUGCAUGGAUUUCAGGAUCAACCACAACAACAACAGUUGCUGAUAACAGCAGUGCUGUUAGCAACAGAAGACUGGACAAUGUUACAGGAGGUUCCCUCACCAUGAGGACUGAAACAGUGAGUGUUGCAGGAAAUCCCUCAUCUGGAAAUCCUGUUGAACAGAACCCUCAACCUGUUCUCACUGCACGUAAUAGCAGUACAGUUUGUACUGACAGAAUCACUAAUUGCAAUUUCACCGGUGACAUAGAUUUAUCAACAUCUGUGAAACCAUCACAAGGACAGUAGAUGAGACACUGCCGUCCUCUCAGUUUGGAGUUAUGCUAAGCAGUUGGACUAACCAGAUAGUGGUGAAGGAAGACCCCAAAGGUCCAGAGUGCACCCUGCUUCACGUGCUCUCUACGCAUGCCAGUCAUCACAGUCCCUUAUUUCCUUGACAUAUAGUUCUUCUGUUUGAGACUGUUUGAAGGGCACAAUUUACAUUGGAAGAACAACAAAAGUGCUUAAAAUUGACUCUUAACUGAUCCAACAUAAGAAGUCUUAACUGUCUUAACUUCCUAUUUGUUUCAUGCUUGCGUGUGUGAACUUCUGAACCUGGUAAUACAGUUGUCUAAAGAUUUAUCUUGUAUAUGCAGAUUCUGCCUAUGCCACCAUGUUAGAAGUGAUAUAUCUGAACUUCUAAGAUAUAUGAAGAUGUUUAGGUUGUAGAAUCCCCCCCUUUAGACUAAUAUGUAGGUAACCAAGAAAAUGCAAGAAAUGACUCUCUUAAUGCCUCCGUGUUGUGACCUUGUGACCUCACAAAACAUGUUUUUGGCUGUAAUCCAAGGAUUCAUAUACAAAUUAUGACAACAUUUCAGACAAAUAUCCAUUAGAAUAAAAUGAAGUGAUGUCAUUUAAUAUCCAAAAGGUCAACUUCAUUUCACUGUGACAUCAUAAUACGUUUCUUUUAGGACUCCCUUUUUGACCUCUUUAGUUCGAUUUUGGAUCUUUGUGCUUUUUGAUACAGUUCCUCUGCUUUAGGUUCCAUUAUGUUUCUUUUAGAGCAAUCAUUCUAUUUUAUCUUUUUAGUGGACUUGAGUAGUGGAAGUUUAGCUUGGCAUUAAAUAAUUUAAUCACUUUUUUCUUUAUUACCAUCUGUAAUUGUUUAACACUAUUAUUGAAUAAAAAUAAGUAGGCUGUUGUGGUCUACUGAAAGACA